UCAUUUUUCGGACGGUAUAUGAGUCAAUAUUUUUUUUUUUUCGAAUAUAUUGCACAUUCACCGGCCUGAAAAUAU
rfam:Drosophila simulans chromosome 2R, whole genome shotgun sequence.